GACGAACGCUGGCGGCGUGCUUAACACAUGCAAGUCGAGGGGUCGGGAGCAAUCCUGGCACCGACGAUCGGGUGCGUAACACGUGAGCGACCUGCCGAUCUGCGGGGGAUAGCCGGCCCAACGGCCGGGUAAUACCGCAUACGCUCUGUCUGUCGCAUGGCGGACGGAGGAAACUUCCGGGGCGGAUCGAGGGGCUCGCG
rnacentral:rRNA from 1 species